GGUUAAGCGACUAAGCGUACACGGUGGAUGCCCUGGCAGUCAGAGGCGAUGAAGGACGUGCUAAUCUGCGAAAAGCGUCGGUAAGGUGAUAUGAACCGUUAUAGCCGGCGAUGUCCGAAUGGGGAAACCCAGUGCAAUUCGUUGCACUAUCGUUAACUGAAUACAUAGGUUAACGAGGCGAACCGGGGGAACUGAAACAUCUAAGUACCCCGAGGAAAAGAAAUCAACCGAGAUUCCCCCAGUAGCGGCGAGCGAACGGGGAGCAGCCCAGAGUCUGAAUCAGCUUGUGUGUUAGUGGAACGGUCUGGAAAGUCCGACGGUACAGGGUGAUAGUCCCGUACACCAAAAUGCACAGGCUGUGAACUCGAAGAGUAGGGCGGGACACGUGGUAUCCUGUCUGAAUAUGGGGGGACCAUCCUCCAAGGCUAAAUACU
rnacentral:rRNA from 1 species